UAGCCUCUAAUUUAUCUGCCUAUUAUCAUUUGACCUGAGCCAGACAUCCCAAAAUCCUGAGAUGAUCAAGACUCAGUUUCUUACCAUAUCACAUUGAGUUCAAGCAAGCUCCAACAACAAUAAAUCAGUCGAAUAAAGGGUUUUUAUGGUUGUAUAAAUUUUUAUUUCUAAAAUUUUUGUAACAAGUUUCAGAAGGGUUGAAACUUGAACGGAGGAUUUGAUCCAAACCUUGAUUUAGAUUGGAAGCCUUGGG
rnacentral:lncRNA from 1 species